rnacentral:rRNA from 1 species
UGAGGAGCGAAAGCAUGGGGAGCGAACAGGAUUAGAUACCCUGGUAGUCCAUGCCGUAAACGUUGGGCACUAGGUGUGGGGGACAUUCCACGUUUUCCGCGCCGUAGCUAACGCAUUAAGUGCCCCGCCUGGGGAGUACGGCCGCAAGGCUAAAACUCAAAGGAAUUGACGGGGGCCCGCACAAGCGGCGGAGCAUGCGGAUUAAUUUGAUGCAACGCGAAGAACCUUACCAAGGCUUGACAUGGACCGGAAAGACCUGGAAACAGGUGCCCCGCUUGCGGCCGGUUUACAGGUGGUGCAUGGUUGUCGUCAGCUCGUGUCGUGAGAUGUUGGGUUAAGUCCCGCAACGAGCGCAACCCUCGUUCUAUGUUGCCAGCGGUUCGGCCGGGGACUCAUAGGAGACUGCCGGGGUCAACUCGGAGGAAGGUGGGGACGACGUCAAAUCAUCAUGCCCCUUAUGUCUUGGGCUUCACGCAUGCUACAAUGGCCGGUACAAAGGGUUGCGAUACUGUGAGGUGGAGCUAAUCCCAAAAAGCCGGUCUCAGUUCGGAUUGGGGUCUGCAACUCGACCCCAUGAAGUCGGAGUCGCUAGUAAUCGCAGAUCAGCAACGCUGCGGUGAAUACGUUCCCGGGCCUUGUACACACCGCCC